ACGGGUGAGGAACGCGUGGAUAAUCUUCCUUAAGGUGGGGAAUAACCAGUCGAAAGACUGGCUAAUACCGCAUAAGACCACAAGGCCUUUGGGCCCAGGGGUUAAAGGCGUAAGCCGCCUUAAGAUGAGUCUGCGCCCGAUUAGCUAGUUGGUGAGGUAAUGGCUCACCAAGGCGACGAUCGGUAGGUGGUCUGAGAGGACGGCCACCCACACUGGGACUGAGACACGGCCCAGACUCCUACGGGAGGCAGCAGUAGGGAAUAUUGCACAAUGGAGGAAACUCUGAUGCAGCGACGCCGCGUGAGUGACGAAGGCCUUCGGGUCGUAAAGCUCUGUUCUCAGGGAAAAAGAAAGUGAUUGUACCUGAGAAGAAAGGACCGGCUAACUUCGUGCCAGCAGCCGCGGUAAGACGAGGGGUCCAAGCGUUGUUCGGAAUUAUUGGGCGUAAAGCGGGUGUAGGUGGCUCUAUAAGUCAGGAGUGAAAGCCCCGAGCUCAACUUGGGAAGUGCUUUUGAUACUGUAGAGCUUGAAUGUGGGAGAGGAUCGUGGAAUUCCAGGUGUAGUGGUGAAAUACGUAGA
rnacentral:rRNA from 1 species